UUAUAAGAACCAUAAUGACAAGAGCAAUUAGUUCUAUUCCAACACUUGUGCUGUAUAUGCUGCCCCAAGCUAGAUCUACCACUGAGUAUAUAUAGUUGAUGAGCUGUCAGCCUGGUGUUUCAUUAUCGGCCAUGUGAGCUGCAUAAUCCAUUUCAGUCUGCUGUCAAUGCCGGCUGAAGAGGAGGCCCAUCUGUAGAUCUGAAGAGAUGAGUCAUUAUAAUUUUAUUACCGGAUUUUCUGAAUCUGAAGCUGUAACCUCGAGACCAGCCUUUCGUAUCUGAAAGAACGCCUGGUCAAGUUCCAAUGUGCAACUUGUCUAGCUGAGUCAGCCUUUUACAGUAUCAUAAUGAUAUUCAUGGGUAAUACACCUUGUGCGGGCAAUUAUCGGUCCAAAAAAUUCCUGUAUUCUAAUACACUAGAACGAGUGCUACAUUGGAACUUGACCAGGCGUUCUUUCAGAUAACGAACGGCUGGUCUCGAGGCUGUACUGAAGCUGGCCCACAGCAAAAUGUACCAAUAUCAACAACUGGAGAGUACUAGAUAUAUACACAGGCGCGCAUCAUUAUAAUUAUGCAACUAUAAUUAUUAUAUCAGUGCCCAUAAUUAUUUUAAUGCUUUAAUUUGUAUACGUAUAUAAAGCCCAAUAUUCAGUGAGUGUGGAGAGACCAUGUCCAAUGGAAACAGUCACUUUCACCUGCACUGCUCCUGGAGAUUCUUUGAGAUGGGUACCAUCAGAUGUUUCUCGCAUCACUAUCCGUCCUACAACCUCUGGUCUCAAUGUACCACUAUGCCUCAACCAGGUUACACUGUGACACUGAUUGCAUUCAAUGACACUACACUAACAUCUACUCUGUCAAGAACAGCAGAGAAUGGGAUCACUGUGUCCUAUGUGGGGGGAUUUGUGAACUCACUGCUUACUCUGACCACUAUAGGAUCUUCAAUGAUCCAAUUGGUUGUGGGACCCUCCUACUGAGACUGGUGGUAGAGAUGACCUCACCUACACAGUGACCAUCUCACCUCCGGCCCAGCUCUCUGCUACUGUCCUCACAUCAACCUCCGUCACUGUGACUGCUCAAUACAAUGUGGACUACACUGUCAGUGUUGUGGCUAUCAACUGUGCUGGGAACAGUACAACAGCUGGGUACAACUUUAGGAUUGAUGAGUUUUAUUAUUUUUUACACACAGUGUCGACUUCCUCUCAGGUGGCUGUCCUGUGUUGACUAACCUUGUGAAUGGAUCAUUUGCACCACUCUCCAGCGGAUCAACAGUAACUAUAAAGUGUGAUGCUGGAUAUGUGUCUGCAUGCUAUUGCUAUGGUGACACGCGAGGGCAGUACAUUGAUAUGGAGUCCAGAACCUGAGGCUAUUGAGUGUACAUCACUAACCACAACUCUCACUCCAAUAAACUGCACGGCUCCACUAUCCCCACCACUUGAACCACCUACAGCUGCUCCUUGUAAUUGUGCCAGCCUAUCUGCAGCUGUCUCCAUCAGUGUGGUUGUCAUGGCAAUUGUAUUCACAAUAAUAGGAUUAUUUGUGGGACUCUUGAUAAUGUAUUUGUUCAUGCAUAAGAAGAAUGUGUACUCCCCGUCACCUAAAGAGCAAGCUAACGUAGGACCCACUACACCAGCUGGUCCUGUUUAUGAGGAGGUGUCACCCAAAGAGGAGAUUGAACUGAACACUAACCAGGCGUAUGGACCAGUAGGACUGUGAAACUUUUGGUAAUUUUCAUCAACAGUUAAUUAAUGUAGAUGUACAUGUAAACAAUUAAUAUAGCACUACAUCCGUUCAUUAUCAACAACUUAAACAAUGUAAACAAUAACAUUGUUCAUUAAAAAGCUACUAUAGUCUACAUGUUUUGUAUCAAAAGUAGUAAAUUCAAAGAAGUUAUA